AUACGGAGGAUCCGAGCGUUAUCCGGAUUUAUUGGGUUUAAAGGGUGCGCAGGCGGGAGAUUAAGUCGGCGGUGAAAUUUUGCAGCUCAACUGUAAAAGUGCCUUCGAAACUGGGUUUCUUGAGUGUAGAUGAAGUAGGCGGGAUUUGUGGUGUAGCGGGGAAAUGCAUAGAUAUCACGAGGAACUCCGAUUGCGCAGGCAGCUUACUAAACUACUACUGACGCUCAGGCACGAAGGCGUGGGGAUCAAACAGGAUUAGAUACCCUGGUAGUCCACGCAGUAAACGAUGAUUACUAGCUGUUUGCGAUACAAUGUAAGCGGCUGAGCGAAAGCGUUAAGUAAUCCACCUGGGGAGUACGUUCGCAAGAAUGAAACUCAAAGGAAUUGACGGGG
rnacentral:rRNA from 1 species